GACAGAGGGGGCAAGCGUUGCUCGGAAUCACUGGGCGUAAAGGGUGCGUAGGCGGCCGCGCAAGUCUGGCGUGAAAGCCCCGGGCUCAGCCCGGGAAGGGCGCUCGAAACGGCGCGGCUCGAGUGCCGGAGGGGAGAGUGGAAUUCCGGGUGUAGCGGUGGAAUGCGUAGAGAUCCGGAAGAACACCGGUGGCGAAGGCGGCUAUCUGGACCGACAUUGACGCUGAGGCGCGAAAGCGUGGGGAGCAAACAGG
rnacentral:rRNA from 1 species